GGACAACCUACCCUGAGGAGGGGGAUAACCCCGGAAAACUGGGGAUAAUACCCCAUAGACCAGGGAUGCUGGAAUGCUCUCUGGUUCAAAGGUCCGCCGCCUCAGGAUGGGUCUGCGGCCGAUUAGGUAGUUGUUGGGGUAACGGCCCAACAAGCCUUUGAUCGGUACGGGUUGUGGGAGCAAGAGCCCGGAGAUGGAUUCUGAGACACGAAUCCAGGCCCUACGGGGCGCAGCAGGCGCGAAAACUUUACAAUGCGAGAAAUCGUGAUAAGGGAACCCCGAGUGCCCGUAAAUUCGGGCUGUCCAUCAGUGUAAAUAACUGGUGAAGAAAGGGCCGGGCAAGACCGGUGCCAGCCGCCGCGGUAAUACCGGCGGCUCGAGUGGUGGCCACUAUUACUGGGCUUAAAGCGUCCGUAGCUUGGUUGUUAAGUCUCCUGGGAAAUCCAUCGGCUCAACCGAUGGGCGUUCAGGGGAUACUGGCAACCUAGGGACCGGGAGAGGUGAGAGGUACUCCAGGGGUAGGAGUGAAAUCCUGUAAUCCUUGGGGGACCACCUGUGGCGAAGGCGUCUCACUAGAACGGCUCCGACAGUGAGGGACGAAAGCUGGGGGAGCAAACCGGAUUAGAUACCCGGGUAGUCCCAGCCGUAAACGAUGCGCGUUAGGUGUAUCGGUGACCACGAGUCACCGAGGUGCCGAAGGGAAACCGUGAAACGUGCCGCCUGGGAAGUACGGUCGCAAGGCUGAAACUUAA
rnacentral:rRNA from 1 species